UCCGAUUUGUCACCGGCAGUCUCCCAUGAGUCCCCGACAUUACUCGCUGGCAACAUGGGACAGGGGUCGCGCUCGUUGCGGGACUUAACCCAACACCUCACGACACGAGCUGACGACAGCCAUGCACCACCUGUGCACAGGCCCCGAAGGGCUCCUGUUUCCAGAAGCUUUCACCAGCAUGUCUAGCCCAGGUAAGGUUCUUCGCGUUGCGUCGAAUUAAACCACAUGCUCCACCGCUUGUGCGGGCCCCCGUCAAUUCCUUUGAGUUUUAGCCUUGCGGCCGUACUUCCCAGGCGGGGUGCUUAAUGCGUUAGCUGCGGCACCGCAGGGGUCAAAGCCCGCGACACCUAGCACCCAUCGUUUACGGCGUGGACUAC
rnacentral:misc_RNA from 1 species